rnacentral:rRNA from 1 species
UACGUAGGGUGCGAGCGUUGUCCGGAAUUACUGGGCGUAAAGAGUUCGUAGGCGGUUUGUCGCGUCGUUCGUGAAAACUUGGGGCUUAACUCCAAGCGUGCGGGCGAUACGGGCAGACUUGAGUACUACAGGGGAGACUGGAAUCCUGGUGUAGCGGUGAAAUGCGCAGAUAUCAGGAAGAACACCGAUGGCGAAGGCAGAUCUCUGGGCCGUAACUGACGCUGAGGAGCGAAAGCAUGGGGAGCGAACAGG